CUUUGGACCAGUCGGAGGAAGCUUUCUUGGGGCAAGGAUCUGACAGCUGAGUUCCCCAGCGGCUAUAUGGAAGGCCAAUCAAAGAUAAGAGGAAGGGACAUUCCUCAGAGACAGUCUUCUUGCUGCAGCAGAAAAGCUUUUGCAGAACCUUCAUACGUACCUGCGCACCACUGGAGCUGCUGACAGUGCCGAGAUAAAAACGUUCCAAGAUGGUGUUCCCCACCCAGUGAAAAUUUCAAUCAAGACAGAAUUCUGUAUUUCCCACUUGCCAUCUGUGGAGUGGUGCCUGCUGAGAUAGUCUGCCAGAGUAUUCUGCAUCCCUGUUGUGUGCAAAGUGGGCAAGAUGGCCACCAAAGAUUUGGAGAGCAUUAUGGCAUUGCAUCAAAACUGAAAUUCUGGCAAGGAGCAUAUGUUUACAACCAACUAAACAGAGAAAGAAGAGCGCACAAGAAAUACCACAAGGUGGUCAGUCAGUGGCAAGCUGGUUCACUGUAUGGGAUCACCAUUUACCUUUAUGUCUUGCAUUCAUAUGGCAGAACACAGACCUACGCAUAAAUCCAUACCCAGCCAAAUCCUGCAUCCUACACCUGCCUGAGAUGAGAGACCCAUAGAAUUGACAUAAAUGAUCUAUUCUCUGAACUUUAGCAAUUCAGGGGGAAUUCAUGAAUACAAUCUUUCAAAAUGGAUGUCCAUCAACCAGCAAUACCAAUAAGGGAAUAUCUACAAAGCACAAAUUUACUGCAAUGUACAGAGACCACAAAGCACAUAUCUCCAAUGGCACUAAGUGGCCAUAAACUGGUUUUCCUCAGUAGAAGAUUCUUCCACUGGAGGGGCAGGGGAUGUAGUGCCAGCUGGCAAUGAAUCUGCUACUGUACCAUUCCUCUGCAUCCUCGCUGCACUCUGGUAAUCCCAAGGUGAUAAAAGGAUCCUUAGGGCCACAGCCAUUUAGUGUAGAUUAGAACAGGCCUGUGACUGUUUUAAACUACGCCAGGGACAGCACAGAACCAUACCCAGAAUCAGGGAGCUACAACCAACUCCUUUGUGGCCUUUUCCUCCAGUUGUGUCGAGUGUAUACUAUAUGCAGAAGAGCAUUUGGGCCUCUGUGUCUAUCAGACAAUUCAAACAGAAUUUUAACAGAGGUCUUAUACACAGUUAUCACUGAGCAACAAUAGAAAUUCCAUGAUAAAGCACUAAAGACAAUGGAAAAUAAAUGAAAAAUACAUUUAUGCUUAAUUUUAACACAAAUGCACAUGUGGUUUCAAUCAGACCUGCGAUCCCUCCAAGUUGAAUGUCUGAGCAUUGUGACACAGCAACAUGACAUCUUUCUCCAAGUCACCAAGGCUACGGUACUUAUGGUUACGAAUUCUUUCCUGUUGUGUUUUUUAAAAAGGGGAAGAAAAAGAGACAAACAAAAGACAGGACAAUUGGUUAACACUGUGCUGUAAUCUUGAAUACAAAUAUGAAUGCAUUACUAUUAGAAAUCCCUACUAGAAAUGUCAUAACUAUGUGGAAUGACAGAUAUUGCCUGAUUUUAUUUAUUUAUUUUUAGAAAGAAAUGUCUAAAACAGGGCACAGUUCUAAGUGUAAGGGCCAAAAGCAAAGUAAAGUUAUUCAACUGCUGUGUGGAGCUGAAGGAACAAAAGCAGCAGAGACUCUGCACUGCUUUGUGUAACAAAAGAGAUUAAUACCAGAUGGGAGCUGAAUGAAGACUUCACUUAGCUGCCGUCCUGAACUGUUGA